rnacentral:rRNA from 1 species
CAGCCGCCGCGGUAAUACGAAGGGGGCUAGCGUUGCUCGGAAUGACUGGGCGUAAAGGGCGCGUAGGCGGCGGCCAAAGUCAGGCGUGAAAUUCCUGGGCUCAACCUGGGGGCUGCGCUUGAUACUUGGCUGCUUGAGUGGGGAAGAGGGUCGUGGAAUUCCCAGUGUAGAGGUGAAAUUCGUAGAUAUUGGGAAGAACACCGGUGGCAAAGGCGGCGACCUGGUCCUUGACUGACGCUGAGGCGCGAAAGCGUGGGGAGCAAACAGGAUUAGAUACCCCUGUAGUCCCUGUCUCUUAUAC